rnacentral:rRNA from 1 species
CAAUAGCGUAUACUAAAGUUGUUGCAGUUAAAAAGCUCGUAGUUGAAUUUCUGGUUGUGAAAGACGGUCCAUUCCUCAAGGAAUGCGUUACUAUUCAUUCAUGGCCAUCCUCGGGGAGAAUGUGUGUUACUUUCAGUAGUCGCGCACAGGAACCCCGUCAUUUACUGUGAGCAAAAUAAGAGUGUUCAAAGCAGGCUUAUGCCGUUGAAUAUAUUAGCAUGGAAUAAUAAGAUAUGACUUUGGUCUAUUUUGUUUGGUUUUGUCUUUCCUAAACGUAAAUGAUUAAUUAGGGAGUAGUUGGGGGUAGUUCGUAUUCAAUUGUCAGAGGU